rnacentral:lncRNA from 1 species
CGUGGGCAGGAGGGGAAGCCUGGUCCUGGCACCACGGUGUGCCUGCUUCACAAGAGUUUCUUACACAUGACUGAAAUGACCACCACGUAUGUAAACCCAAGGAGUCUCACGAAGGCGGCAAGAGCCAGGGAACUAGGGAGAAACUCUGAGCAGGGGGAGAAGUGACAGCCCUCUCCCCAAAGCCCAUCAGCAGGGGGACCAUGUAAGGGAGGGAAUGGGAAGGCAGCUGAGGGCGGCUGUGCCACAGUUACUGAUAACUGGCUUUUGGAAGAAUGGUGUGUGGACUCUGCCGAUUUCCAGCUCACCUCUUCUCUUGGCUUUGCUAAGCUGUUACUGAAAUUAAAGUGCAGAGUCUAGGAACAGAGUGUUCCAGCCGGGUGGAGUAGAAUCUGCUCAUGCUCAGAGAAAUGUUCCACGCAGGCCAAGCACAAUAUCACCGUAAUCCUGACCAUCCACAUUGACUACUGUGGAAAGAUGGCCAGAGCGGCUGCUGACCGUCAGAAAGAAGGUUCCAGAACCAGCUUGAGAAGCCCGGCAUUAUUUUACAAACAACUAAAGACAACUUUCAAAAGGCAUGAAUCAGACCAUGCAUGAUACCUCGAUGUGGUCACUGAAAUCUCAUCUCUAGCUUCUCGGGAUGUUGACCCACUUGAAGUCUCUCCGCUACAGUGGUUAAGAUGUGAGUUUUGCUUUGAUGUUUGCCUUUUCAUCUCUUGGAGAUGCGUCUUGGGUUUCUGUGCUCUCGUAGCCGACUUCUCCUGGAUUCUCCUGGCCUGCAUCUCUCCUGGCAGGUCGUCACAUGCUUUCCUGGGGCUUCUGAACCCUCUGCUUUGGGAUCUGCUCUCCUGCUUUUCACAGGGAGUUGAGGUCUGUAUUAUUUCAAAAAGGAGUGGUUUUCACAUUGGAAAAAGAAUGACUGGAAACUACUUUCACACCACGAGCCUGGAGCUGCUCUAAGUGAGCUACUUCACUUUGUCCUUACAGUGACACCACAAGCUAAGGAGGCCGUGGGAUGGACCUUCCCAACUCCAACAAUGACAGAUUGUUCAUCUCUUGCAUCCAGAAAAUAAAAAUCUAAAACUGUUUUAACUUUUUACAACACAGAUUCGGGGGGCUGGGGAUGUGGCUCAAGCAGUAGCAUGCUCGCCUGGCAUGUGUGCGGCCUGGGUUCGAUCCUCAGCACCACAUACAAACAAAGAUGUUGUGUCUGCCG